CACACACAUAUAUAUUUUCCUUGUAUAAGUUUGAGAAUACGGCUCAAACGUCUCUACUAAGCUACCGUAAAUGGCUUAUCUACAAGGGAUAUUCGUAUAGAA
rnacentral:ncRNA from 2 species